AAAAAGUACUCUUGGCGCAUACACGCGCAUUGUUGUAUACACGUCUUAAAUUAGUAUUGGAUAAAGACAAUGCACGAAUAGUUGCAGUAAGGGUAUACUUGCGUACUUAGAUUAGCAACGCAUUCGCCUGAUCCGCACACACCCUGACAGGCGUUGUACUGGGAUAUCAGUUCAAUGCAAGUUAAACAAUUAAUUCGGAUGACAAGACAUUGCAUACGAUUGAUUGCAAUAUGCUUCUAACUAGACGUGCGGUAAGAGGCAGAGUGGAGAGCUAUUCAGUUUUAUUAAGUUUUAUAAUUAAUUUGUAUAUAGUGCAGGCACCACCAGGUAUGGAGUGUUAUUUCCAUCUUCGGGAAAGUACUGCCGACUACUUAUCUAAUGGCUUGGACGAAUUGCACCUUCGCGACGGUCUAUCCGCAUUAUGAAUAAUGCAGACGUCACCAAGGACCUUCAACCGCUUCAGUAUCGAUAAAAUCCCUAAAGUUACCUCGCCAGUUCUGGUGAUCCACGGAACUGAGGAUGAGGUGAUAGACUUCUCCCACGGACUCGCCAUAUACGAGCGCUGUCCGCGUGCUGUGGAACCACUUUGGGUUGAGGGUGCUGGACAUAAUGAUGUCGAACUCUUCAAUCAGUAUCUCGACAGACUGAAACGUUUUGUAUCUGUAGAAUUGCUCAACUGACAAAGACUGCCGGCCACGGGCCAGACAAUUCAAGGUGACGACCAAAAUCCAGCUUCGACACUGAGCUCCGGCACUUCUAGUUCUGUGACAGAGACCUC